CACUUGUAGCUAACAUUUUGCACUGUUGAGGUCGGUGCUGGUGCUGGUGCAGGCGGUGGUGAGGCGGUUGGAGUAGGAGAACGAUGGCGGUGUGGGAUAACAGAAGUGUUGGUGGAGUUGGCAUCACCGCCGCGUGCUAGCAUGAUAAGGCAGAGAGCGAGGUAUUCUUCCUCGGUGGUCACAUGAUCGAAACGCGGUCGCUUGGAACGCUUACGCUUGGUGAACGAUUCCAGGCAGUGUAAGUUAGUGGUAUCUUCAAAGUGGAAAGGAGGCGUAGCGGUUGUAGUUGGAGAGUUG
rnacentral:lncRNA from 1 species